UCUUGUCACCGUGGCCUGUGCCAGACCCAAGGUUUAAACCCAGCAAACGUGAAGUGGACGGGAUUGCCUGGUGAGCUUUAGCGUCUCCUGUGAGUAAGCCGUGGCUAAUGCGCUGGCCCUGGCAGAAUCAGAAGAGGAGACCCUAAGGGACUCUGCCGUCCGCCUGGGUCUCAGGCUGCAGCCCUAGGUCUGUGCGUUCUGACAGCGAAGUGCUCUGUGGGAGGACAUCGCCCCGUCUCAGUCUUCUCCAGCUUUCAGCAGUGCCUCUGGGUUAGAGUCCACAUGAGAAGUGACACCCAUUUUCUCGUGCACAGAUGCAGCCACCACUGCUCAAGGAUAAAUACUAACAAAUACACUGAUAAAUAACAGAGCACAACCAAAUCUAAUGUACGGAAAUGGGAACUCUCCGUAUUUAUCUUUUAUCUUUACCGGGUGCUGCCAAUGUAUAGGCCUCUCCUGGUGCUGGGCUUCCAUCUAGGGUAGAAAGGGAAAUCCUGUCCUGAGGGGCUCACAUGCCGCAGGAAGCGAGAUGGUCAGCGCUCAGCCAGAGGACAAAGGGGCAGGUGUAGGGAGCAGUGGGCCCUGGGCUGAUAUUCUGCAGGACCGAAUGAGUGAGGGAAGACCUUGGGAGUGCAGGCGGGGUGGUGUCCACGCAGAGGGCAGAGCGAGUUUCGGAAUGACUUCCAGUGGGCAGCGUGGGCCUGCCCCAUGUUUGGCGAGGCAGGGAUUACCCUCUGAACUGCUGGGGUCAGAGCAGGGGUCCUGCAGCUGCUGUCCACAGCAGUUCUGACCCCACCUAAGAAAGGGUGUGGCCGCUCUAUGCUCUGAAGGUGAGGCAAGGGCCUGGGUUAGACGGUCAGUCUCCACCUUCUCUUAGGGGACCUACCCUGUCCACACCAUCCCCACCCAUAAGGGAGUGCUGGAGUGCAUGCCCUCCUUGAGGACCGUAGCCCCCACACACCCUUGUCCUGAGGCCCAAGUGUUUCUUUGAGGAGUGAGCAGAGUCCCACGUUUUCAGGGCAGACCAAAGGUCUGGGUGGCAACUGGACUCCCGUAAGACCUUGCUGGGCUUCUCACCUAAGUGGCCUCAGGCGGGUGCAUCUUUCUGGUUUGUGGCUAGACCUCACUGUGGCCGACUUCUUUUUGUGUGUUUAUUUUUCCCGUGGCCAUACCCUUUAGUUGAGGUUUAUGGAUCAUCUUUGCUUCGGUUCUGGUUGGAUCGGUUUGGCAGUCUUCAUGUUUUCAGACGCACCAGCAGUGGCUGUCAGGGGCCCUAGGUGGCGCCAGCACUGACUGGUGUCCUACCUGCAGGGCGGUGGAUCCCCUGGUCCCGGGGCCACAGCUGCCCUGUGAGGUGGGUGUCUCACUCUCGGGCAUCCCCUUCAGGGAGAGGGCCAGGUGGAGACAGCAGCUGAAAGAGGGAAGUCUGUCUUGGAGGGAUGAGGUGAUGAUGGAGGCGCUAUGACCCGUGGCUAGUGUUCGUUCACCACUCGCGUGCGCCCCCCAGAGCUGCUCCAGGGUCUGAUCCUCGUCCCAGCCACAGCACCCCCAUGGUAGUUCAGGCAGGAAGGGGGCUGUGAGUCCUGGACACGGGCGUGGGUUAUCAGCACCCCUCUUCUCUGCCCAGAAGGGAGCCCCUGGAGUCCCAGGAGUCCUUCUCUGUCUGCUACCACACUCUCUCCGUGUCUCCAGCUCACACUUGGUGCCUCAGAAGCGUCCCACUGUCUCCCACGAGCGUUCUGCAUCUCACCGCACCCCUUGGCCGGAACUCGGCCAUUUAUCCAGGCGUUUGGGUCUUUGCUCCCAGAGAGAAGCCACGGUGGGUCCUCCAGUCACCCGCUGGCAUCCUCACAGAAUUUUCAGGGGCAUACAUGGCGUCGCAAUUGCUGUGGUCUCGAGAAACCAGCGCACUUCGUAUUAUUGCCGGAACUAUUGCCAGAAAGAAGGCUGAACUUCACGAUAUCACAAAAAUAUCUUUGAAAACCUUUCUCCAAAAUUCAUUUGGUCAAUGAUUCUCAUCAUGCAAGUCAAUACAUUUAUUUGGGAUUUUAAGCAUAGAACCCAUUUUGUUAGGUAAGCCGCACGCAGUACCUAGCCAGUCCAUACCGCCUGCAGAGCAGCACUGAGGACAGCUGACUGCAGGCGACAGCAGCAAUGGUGGCCGGAGGCUCUCCAAAGGCCCCGGGGUAUAAGAGGCUGGACCCCCUAGGCUUGUGGAAGGGCACCCUGUGAUGUCAUAGCAUUUGUUAGUGUCACCUUCAGACGCGCUUCUCCUGUGUGUCCCUGUCGUUAAGAGACACAUGGCUGUGUCCAAGAAGUACACUGCCUCCUCCACUCGAGUGGGGCCUUCCUGCAGGCAACACCACGCCUCUGCUUGGGCAUCCAGAGUUCAAGGCCAGCGAUCGCCAACCCCUGCACUAAGGUUCUCCGCCCUCCGUGCCCGGCCAGCUCUGGCUGCUGUGCCAUGGACCUCUUGUCUCCACCGAGCUCCCAUCAGUGAUCGACUGAUCCCAAGUUGCCCACACACGACUGCAUGUCACCACCUUGGGGGCGUACUAGUUUCUCACGCUUAUGAAAAAAAAAAACAGAUGACUGAAGGAGAAAUGAGUCCUAUUUAUGUAAUGUAGUCGAGAAGGGAGAUAUCAUCUAUCAGCUCUGAAUGUCCCAAAUAUUAGCCGCAGACCGACUUAGAACUAAGUUUCGAAGCUGAGCUACUCCUCUCAGAGUUCAACCAGGAGCGUUCGUGAGCUUGUUACAGGGAACAGUCAAGAGCUGCACCUUCACUUUCUGGAAGACUCUGGGUGUUGUCUGAUAUAUGUUUCCUGAUCACAUAAGUGGAUGCCAGAAGCCCAGUUCCAGUGCUGUGCUCUGCUGACUCUGCACUCCACGGGCCAGGACCCUGUGAGAGGCCUGGG